rnacentral:tRNA from 1 species
GUAGUUGUAGCUCAGUGGUAGAGUGCUCACCUAGCACGUGUGAGGCCCUGGGUUCCAUCCCUAGCACCACA